AAGGCCAUUCUCAGUUUCUGCUACUCUCUGCAAACCCUAAUUUCUUCAUAUCUUUCCGGUAUUCAACGACAAACCCAUAUCCCUAAAUGCAAAUUUCUUCAUUUUUUCCUCCUCCCGUUCCUGCAGGAGCGUCAGAUGUAUACAGAUGAGCAGAUCCUCAAGUCCAAGAUCGAGCUCCUUAACUGACCAACACGGUGGACUACGCCAUGGACAUCCACAAGUCCCUCCAUCACACGAAGAUGUUCCCCAAGAAGCAUGUCGAGCGUCGAGACGGGGAUGGCACCAACGUCGGCAAGAGCAGCGAUUAGACUAUCAAGAAGUUUGUCGGACUUCAUCAACGAGAUCAAAGCUGAUCAGAAUGUUCUCUUUGAGCUGGUCUUGGCUUCAAUCAAAUCAGCACCCACAACUGGAGGAGUCAAGAAGCCUGACCGCUACCGCCCUGGAAUCGUCACUCUUCGUGAAAAAACAUACUAAAGCAACAACGUUAUGGUGGUGGGAAUAAGCGUUCUCAGUUUGAUCGAAUCAGGUUGAAUUGAAUAAUCCUUGAAGUGACAAGAAGGAGCCAACUAAGUUUGCCUUAAGCCGGCGAAGGAAUCAUGGGAACAGAGCUCAGACUAUCAGAGAUGACGGAAGUCGACCCGAGUUCAAAUUGAAACAAUAUGAUUAUUUUGGUUAUGA